rnacentral:lncRNA from 1 species
GCAAGAGUUCCUUUAAUUGAAGCAUUUACUAUAGAUCAAGGCAAAAAAUAUGGAACAUUAAAGGAAAACCAAAAUAUAGGGGAACUGAUACAUAUUGGACAUUUGGUUUUGGUUUGUUCAUUGUGAACAGCGUUACUGCAUGCACAAUUUUUCUUUUAUAUCUCAUUUUGCUUAGGAAGUGAUAUAACUCUUCUCUUUUUUUUACUUUUUCCUAACAGUUUGUGUAGUUUCCAGUGUUGGCUUUAAGUUUCAAUAUUGCAGAUAAGAAUGAUUGCCUGCAGGAAAAAUGAAAUGUGGCUGCCUCAUUUGAUACAUAUCAUAGCCUAAUUCACACUCAUCUGGAUCCCUGUGCUGUAGGAUUAUUUUCCAGUAUGAAACUUGGAGAAAUGAGAGGACACAGCCUCUGCACAACUCCAAUGGGGUGACCAUACAUAAAGGGAUGGCCCAUAAAACCUCAGCUCUGCUCACAGCUCCUGUAUCAACCCUAAAAUCAGGCCUGGGACCCUUUACCAAGCUGCCUGCAUGCAGGUUGUUGCUCACUCUGCAAGAGAAGUAAAGAGAAAACAACAUUUUAGGACUGUAGGAGAAGAAGGUGGAAAAGUAAGUAGAAAAUCUCUUUGCAAAUACAUUUGAAACUGCUAACACCUAAUUGCUAAUUAGGAAAAGUUGGCAGGAAAAAAGGUGUUGUGAAGUUUGGGCAAAACAAAAUAUAGCAAAGAAAUCCCAGUUAA